UACGUAGGGGACAAGCGUUGUCCGGAUUUAUUGGGCGUAAAGAGCUCGUAGGCGGCUCGGUAAGUCGGAUGUGAAACCUCCAGGCUCAACCUGGAGACGCCAUCUGAUACUGCCGUGGCUUGAGUCCGGUAGAGGAGCAGGGAAUUCCUGGUGUAGCGGUGAAAUGCGCAGAUAUCAGGAGGAACACCAGCGGCGAAGGCGCUGCUCUGGGCCGGUACUGACGCUGAGGAGCGAAAGCGUGGGGAGCGAACAGG
rnacentral:rRNA from 1 species